rnacentral:lncRNA from 1 species
AGAUUAGAUUAGAUAUUUUUGGCCAUCACAUGCUUAUGGUCGGGAUACAGCUACUGUCAGUCCAGCUCAAAGUACAGGUCACCGCGACAGAAGAUAUAGACGUGAGCUACUACUAAUUUGUUCAUGGAGCGGCGACCCUGCAAUGAUGAUAAACCCUUGGACCACAAGCAUAUGCAUUGUUGUUUUAGAGGGUUUGGCCUAAGCUUUCUACCCA